CAGCAAGGCAGAGCCAGGAAGAUUGCAGUUACACACACACACACUCCCCUGACACACAGAUGCAGAUAGUCUAAAGACGACAUUGCAAUUAGAGCAAGCAGUUCUGUUUUUAUUCAAGGAGUAGGUCAGAAUUCCUCCCAAGAAAUUCAUGUUUUCUAAAACACCCAAAACAGUUUGAAAAUUGUUCCAAUAUAUCUUUGUCAUUUUUUUUCUUAGACUUUGAUUUUCUUAUUUUCAGUUUCAUUUAUUUGUAUGGGAAAUGUCAUAGAAGCAAACUUCAGGUGCUGUUAGGGACGUACUGUGCAGUCCCUGCAACCACCUUUUAUAAACCCAGAGAGCAGGAGAGGUAUUACCUACUAUCAGUGAGUUACAGGAAUCUGCAACUUCAGAUACCCUCCUUUAAUGUGAGCCCCCACACCUGGUAAAAGGAGCCAAAAGAAACUCAUUUUGUGUGUGACAACAUAAAUUGGGCACUUCUUUACUCAGUCAUCUAAACCACUGCCAAGACUAAAUCAUCUUGAAAUUGAUUCAAGGCUAAAGUGGAAA
rnacentral:lncRNA from 1 species